rnacentral:rRNA from 1 species
CUUGUUCAAACAGGGAGACAUAUAGUUCAUCAUUUGGUGUACUUCCUUCUAAAAUUGGUAUUGAUUCUACCAGUGGCAACAACGAAUGUUGAGAGAGCAUUUUCUGCCAUGGGUAUAGUGAAGAGCAAGUUGAGAAAUAAGAUGGGUGAUAGUCUUUUGGAUGAUUGCCUAGUCAGAUACAUUGAGAGGGAUGCUUUUGCCGAAGUGAAUGGAGAUGAUGUAAUUGAUACUGUCAUGGCAAUGCAAAAGCGUAGGCCAGAAACAUAUUCUUUUCGAGCUUCUGAAGGUAUGUACUAUGGUCUAUAUAGUAUGCACUAUGUAUGCUUCUUUAUGCAAAACUUAGACUUAAUUGAGAAUUUUAGUGUGUUUGUAAGACCAUAUUGUGAUAUUGAUCUAUUUCUAUGUGAUAUUGGUAAGUACUUAGAACGCCCACAUGUCGUAUUUCUUGUAAAAAAAUUUUGGAGGGUCGGACCACCCUGA